UACAGAGGGGGCAAGCGUUGUUCGGAAUUACUGGGCGUAAAGGGCUCGUAGGUGGCCAACUAAGUCAGACGUGAAAUCCCUCGGCUUAACCGGGGAACUGCGUCUGAUACUGGAUGGCUUGAGUUCGGGAGAGGGAUGCGGAAUUCCAGGUGUAGCGGUGAAAUGCGUAGAUAUCUGGAGGAACACCGGUGGCGAAGGCGGCAUCCUGGACCGAUACUGACGCUGAGGAGCGAAAGCCAGGGGAGCAAACGGG
rnacentral:rRNA from 1 species